rnacentral:misc_RNA from 1 species
GUACAUUCACUUAGAGCUAAUUCAAUACCAACUAUAGAACUUUAUCGUCAACCAUUGUUUACAACAUAAAGGGACUUCCUUGUAACGUUUGAACAUAGCAUUUCUUUACUAUAGGCCUUCAUUUUCUUUCUUCUUUUCUACAUUUGGCAUUUGAUUGAGAUGUAAAGUUGGAUAAAGGAAUAUACUUACGAUAAUUGUACCAAUGCAUAUUGGGU